CCUUACCUCUCUCCAUAGCUGGGGUUUCUUCAACUUUCAAGCUUUAUAGUAAGUGAUUCCAAGCCCCGUUUUUAAUGAUCUUUACGUUUUUUAAGUCCCGGUAGCUCGAUAAAGCUUAUGCUAGCAAUAAUUUAAGUUAGGAAUCAAAUUUGGAAAAAUACCCAUAGGUGAAAUUUGUGUAUUUUGAUGUUUUAUGAUGGAAUAUAAGGCUUUAAAUUAUGUUAGACAACUUGUGCUACUUGGUUUUAAGUGAAAACGAGUAAAAAGGCUUAAUCGGUAAAAAUACCUAAUAGUCAUAAGUACAUGUUAGUGUCUGAAUUUGAUGUUGUCAUAGAAGGGAAAAAUGAUCAGUAUGUCAUAAAACAUAAGAAAAUAGGAUGAAGUUUAAUUUACGAGCCUUGGGGCAAAAGUGCAAAUAUGUGAAAGUUUAGGGGCAAAAAUGUGAUUUUUCCAAAGUUUGAGUAAAGGGUUGUUUUGAUAAAUGUUGAUAUUAAAUAAGCUAAAUUUGCUAUUAUAGAUCAAGAAGAGCGAAAUUCGGGAGUAGAUCGGGGAAAAGAAAAAGUAAAGGACUAAAUUGUAAACUUUAGUCACAUUUUGUAUCGAGGUAAGUUUACAGUAAAUAAAUGCAAUAUUCUUUUAUUUUACAUUAUUAUUGUCAAUUUCCAGCAUUUAUAUAUUUAUGUUAUGAAAAUAUUUAAAGUCGAAUUUAAGGUGAAGUGACAGAGGAAAAGUGUUAGAAAGCCCCGGUUGAACCCUAGGAAUGUUAGGAUAUUAGGGUUGACAGGACAUAACAGAAAUGAGCCAUGUAAGUCCAUAUUAAAAAUAUGGCUUUGGAGACAGGAUUGAGCCAUGUAAGUCCAUAUUAUAUAUGGCAUUGGAGACAGGAAUAAUUCAUGUAAGUCCAUGUCAAAGACAUGGCAUUGGCAGGGUAUUGAUAGACAGGAAUGACCCUAGUAUCCUUAGUAUUCCGAGUGGUUCAACGGGUCAGAAUACGAGUUAAAUUACAGUAAAUUAACAGCAAAGGAAAAGUAGAUUAUAUUUAUGAAAAAGGAAAGGUCAGGUAAGAAAGAAGGUAAGGGAAUAAAGAAGAAGAUAGAAAUUGAGAAGUAAAGAAAUUUAUGAUGUUAGAUGAUAUUAUGCAUAAUUAUCCAUUAUGUUGAAUGUUGUGAUUUAUUUGCUUGUAAGCUUACUAAGCCUAGUGCUUAAUCUCUUUAUUUUCUUCUUCUUAUAGUACUUAUCUAGCCACUCGGGGAUCGAAGGAAACGUCGGAGGCUGAUCACACUAUCAAAGAAAUAACUAGGUAUAAUUAGACGUUUUGUUUUGUGUAUGGCAUGUAUAGAAACUUAGCUACUUUUGGUAUAAUAUGAACAAUGAAUGAUGUGUAAAUACUUGCUAGUGAUUAGCUAAUAAAAAUGGCCGA
rnacentral:lncRNA from 1 species